rnacentral:rRNA from 1 species
UACGAAGGGGGCUAGCGUUGCUCGGAAUUACUGGGCGUAAAGGGAGCGUAGGCGGAUCGUUUAGUCAGGGGUGAAAUCCCGGGGCUCAACCUCGGAACUGCCUUUGAUACUGGCGAUCUUGAGUAUGGGAGAGGUGUGUGGAACUCCGAGUGUAGAGGUGAAAUUCGUAGAUAUUCGGAAGAACACCAGUGGCGAAGGCGACACACUGGCCCAUUACUGACGCUGAGGCUCGAAAGCGUGGGGAGCAAACAGG